GGGCCCGUAGUCUAGUGGUAGGACAUCACCCUCACAUGGUGGAAGCCCUGGUUCAAUUCCUGGCGGGCCCACCA
rnacentral:tRNA from 1 species